AAACCGAAAUAACUAAUUAUAGUAAGCAUAAAAAAGCUAAAUGAGAUAUGUUUUUUACUACAUAUAGUGAUAAAACACUUACCUAAAGUUUAAUUUUUCCAGAUAUAUUCGAAAUGAAAUAAAAAAUAUCAAUUGAAAGUUAUUGAUUGAUCAAUCAUUAUAGAGAAUACUAAUAAAGAUAGAAUGAUAUAGACAGAAAAAAAA
rnacentral:lncRNA from 1 species